UACAGAGGGUGCGAGCGUUAAUCGGAAUUACGGGGCGUAAAGGGUGCGUAGGUGGUUGAAUAAGUUAGGUGUGAAAGUCCUGGGCUUAACCUGGGGAUUGCGCCUAAUACUGUUUGGCUAGAGUACUGUAGAGGGAAGUGGAAUUUCCGGUGUAGCGGUGAAAUGCGUAGAUAUCGGAAGGAACAUCAGUGGCGAAGGCGACUUUCUGGACAGAUACUGACACUGAGGCACGAAAGCGUGGGGAGCAAACAGG
rnacentral:rRNA from 1 species